rnacentral:rRNA from 1 species
UACAUGGGGUGCAAACGUUGCUCGGAAUCAUUGGGCGUAAAGCGCGCGUAGGCGGUUAUUUAAGUUGGAUGUGAAAGCCCUCGGCUUAACUGAGGAAGUGCAUCCAAAACUGAAUAGCUAGAGUACGAAAGAGGGUCGCGGAAUUCCCGGUGUAGAGGUGAAAUUCGUAGAUAUCGGGAGGAACACCGGUGGCGAAGGCGGCGACCUGGGUCGAGACUGACGCUGAGGCGCGAAAGCGUGGGUAGCAAACGGG